rnacentral:rRNA from 1 species
GAUGAACGCUAGCUACAGGCUUAACACAUGCAAGUCGAGGGAACGGCGCACGGGUGAGUAACACGUAUCCAACCUGCCCUUUACUCGGGGAUAGCCUUUCGAAAGAAAGAUUAAUACCCGAUAUAAAGGAUGGGGAUGCGUUCCAUUAGGUUGUUGGGGAGGUAACGGCUCACCAAGCCGUCGAUGGAUAGGGGUUAUGAGAGGAACUUCCCCCACAUUGGAGCUGAGACACUGUCCAAACUCCGACACAAUGCAUCAGUGAGGAAUAUUGGUCAAUGUGCGCUAGCCUGAACCAGCCAAGUAGCGUGAAGAAUGAAGGCUUAUGUAUCGUAAACUUCUUUUAUAUAAGAAUAGGUAUUAUAUGAAUAAGGAGCGGCUAACUCCGUGCCAGCAGCCGCGUAAUAC